rnacentral:rRNA from 1 species
CAAAACUUUCAACAACGGAUCUCUUGGUUCUGGCAUCGAUGAAGAACGCAGCGAAAUGCGAUAAGUAAUGUGAAUUGCAGAAUUCAGUGAAUCAUCGAAUCUUUGAACGCACAUUGCGCCCGCCAGUAUUCUGGCGGGCAUGCCUGUCCGAGCGUC